GGACUACAGGGGUAUCUAAUCCUGUUUGCUCCCCUAGCCUUCGCGCCUCAGCGUCAGUUUCAGCCCAGAUAGCCGCCUUCGCCACUGGUGUUCCUCCCGAUAUCUACGCAUUUCACCACUACACCGGGAAUUCCGCUAUCCUCUGCUGUACUCUAGUCUACCAGUUUCAAAUGACCCCUCCCGGUUAAGCCGGGAUAUUUCACAUCUGACUUGAUAGACCGCCUGCGCGCUCUUUACGCCCAAUAAUUCCGGACAACGCUUGCAUCCUACGUAUUACCGCGGCUGCUGGCAC
rnacentral:rRNA from 1 species